rnacentral:rRNA from 1 species
GACGAACGCUGGCGGCGUGCCUAAUACAUGCAAGUGGAACGCACGAGGUACACCGUAGUUUACUACACCGUACUUUGUGAGUCGCGAACGGGUGAGUAACGCGUAGGUAACCUACCUUUUAGCGGGGGAUAACUAUUGGAAACGAUAGCUAAUACCGCAUAAGAUAUCUUACUGCAUGGUAAGAUAUUAAAAGAUGCAAUUGCAUCACUAAGAGAUGGACCUGCGUUGUAUUAGCUAGUAGGUGAGGUAACGGCUCACCUAGGCAACGAUACAUAGCCGACCUGAGAGGGUGAUCGGCCACACUGGGACUGAGACACGGCCCAGACUCCUACGGGAGGCAGCAGUAGGGAAUCUUCGGCAAUGGGGGGAACCCUGACCGAGCAACGCCGCGUGAGUGAAGAAGGUUUUCGGAUCGUAAAGCUCUGUUGUAAGAGAAGAACGAGUG